rnacentral:lncRNA from 1 species
UCUGAAUCGUCGUGAUUCGGGCUUACAAAGUAAUGACGUCAUGCAGGUCUGGCGCUCCUCUGGAAUUGGGUAACAUCUGUGUAGGGCCAGCGCGUGCAAUAAAAGCAAGGCAAAAGCUCCGUAUCUUUGAGACUUCUGGCUAUGACAUGACGCUCCCCAGCAGCAUGACUCUACCAAUUGGGCAGAGAAAACAGCGGAAGCGAGAAAGACAAGAUGGUAUGAACUCCUUGCUGACUAUGCAUAUCCUGGUCUGCCUGUCGACGGCUAUUCGUGGUCCAUCUAAUUAGCCGAACCCAGCUCCGCGCCGUUUUUCUUCGAUAACACUCUUUACCCGCUAGUAGCGUGUAGAGAAAGGCUUUAACUGAGUCGUUCGCAAGUCAGUCAGUUGUUCGAAAACGCCUGCUCAAAGUCAGCGAUUUCAAUGUAAACCUAAUGUGGACUGUUCCUUCCGGAUGUGCCGUCGAAAGACAUGGCGACUCUAUGGCACGCUUGCAUCACCAGCCAGUCAAGCUAUCUCUGAAUAUUUCUUUGGGUGAGUCCCCCGCCAUUUUGUUGCUGUCAGUUCAAUGGAAGCUUCAGAGAGACAGUUGAAUGUACUUUUCCGUUACUGGUUGCGGUGACACCAGACCUUCUCGGCGGAUGGUGUUGAGUUGGGUUUUUUCCGAGUUUUCUCGCUGCUUAGUGCUUAUCAUAUAAACGUAAAGAUGGCAUAACUUCAUUUUUACGCCUUCGCAUAUGCAAAGGACUUGGUGUAUCCACGGAGAAAUCGUACUUGCCUCCACCGUAUGAGUUGGACGGGUAAGUUGGGUGUCUGUCCCCAGGUUGGUCGACAGCUUUUGUGUUCACUAGGUCGGCAGGCCUUUCGCAUACAAGGACUUCUGAUAAUCUG